UACGGAGGGUGCAAGCGUUAUCCGGAUUUACUGGGCUUAAAGGGCGCGCAGGCGGCUAUGUAAGUCAGAGGUGAAAUCUCUAGGCUUAACCUGGAAAUUGCCGUUGAUACUAUAUAUCUUGAAUGCUGUGGAGGUAAGCGGAAUAUGUCAUGUAGCGGUGAAAUGCUUAGAUAUGACAUAGAACACCUAUUGCGAAGGCAGCUUACUACGCAGAUAUUGACGCUCAUGCACGAAAGCGUGGGGAUCAAACAGG
rnacentral:rRNA from 1 species